UCGCCUCAUCUCGCUCCCGCCAUCAGCGAGGCAGCGGCGGGGCCACUCUCGGCCCUUCGGGAGGGCGAGCGGGUUGCGCGGUAGCGACCGGGAGGGAAACACCCAGGGCCGGGGCAGGAAUGCGAAGGAGGAAGUGGGGGAUAAUGAUGGAGUGUAGCGGUGUUUGUAAUGCGAGGACCUUUUGAAAUCCUUUAACGACUCUGAGGGCAAGGUGAGCGAAUAAAGUUUAUUUUGCUGCUCAAUAAGAGCUCGAAUGGAAGGAAAGCUGUCUCUUACAAGUUUUAUGCCAUUGAAAGUAGGUGAGCUCCUCAGGAGUCGGGAAAAUUUUAUUCCGCUUGAUUAAAUGCCAGUUUAAUCAGAGCUGUUUACACAACUGUAGAGUAAUGAAAGAGCAACAUUUUUAGCAUAGUAGAUGGGUGAAAAUGGGCCACUGUAAGGCUGAAAACAUGACAGAAGGUGCACCGAAGUACUAAUUAAGCUUCUUAAUUGGGAAAAUAAUAACGCCCUUUUCAGGUCUACACUAGCACCUUGCAUUUCUCAAAUACAUGAACACAUACUGGUCUAAGGAAAGUCAGUAUUAUGUUAAGAUGUCAAAGUCAGUUUUCUGUCUGUGCAUAAUCAUAAGGGUUUUUUUCCUUUAAUACACUGUUAAAUGUGUGGCUCCUAGAGUUCCAAAAUGUGGUAUGUCAUCCACAUUGCCCAAGACUACUUCUUUUGUGGAAACUACAUCUUCACUCACUGGAACCGACCUAAUCCUCUAGAAGAUAAUCCUCCCUCACCCCAGAGGAAGUCCUGUUUAGGCCUUUUGACAAGUUAAGCCUGCAUAUAAAAGUAUGUCUCGUAAGAAACAUGAAUUCAAACCAAGAUAGUAACCACUGCCUCCCAGCUUACAUACUCAUUUCCUGAUACAGGAGCAGCUUUGCUCUUGGUUUUGUUUCAGCUGGGGUCCACCUUUUUCAAGCAACCUUAGCACGUAAUUUGGGCUACCCAAAAGUUAAACCAUGCAGGAUUCUGUCACCACAUGAGCUACCAACGUUCUCUUAAACACUGCCAAGGCAGUAAUUGAUGUCAUAUGAGCGUGCAGCUAAUCAGCAUGGCCUUCUCCAAACCUUGAAGGAGUACUAUGGGAGAGCUCUGCAGAGCAGUGCUUUAAGCCCUGUGAUAGAAGGACAGCUUCGUUCUUUGAACCAUUUAAUUACCAUUCAAGUUAUUUUCCUGUUAUGAAAAGCUGAAACUGAAAAGCUUUGGGGAAAAAAAUCCUGCUGACUGUUUUCUGCUGAGUCAUUCCGCUGGUUUAUCAGAAGCAUUUCACAAACACUGUAAUACAACUCCCGCCAGUUGCAAUCAAAUCUCCUUUUGUUUGUGAGCUCAGAAUCUGAAUUCCCCUUUUCAAGGUAGAAAUAAAAUACAGCGAAAUGUGGGACACCUGAGAUUUGUCUGUAAUAACAGCUGGCACCAAUUUAAAUCAAUCUCCAUUCAGUCUUUUGAAUGUGUUCUAGGUAUAUUAGUAAUGUAUAUAACUAAUAGGAAUCCACUUACCUUACUUCACCCUUUCUCUAGUUUUUUGUUAUUCUCUCUGAAAGCUCUGUAGAAAGGACAUGCUCAGAACAUCGGUGUUCUAAUGGCACAAGUCAGAGUAUGCGAGCCACUGACAGAUUGCUCUGAAUAUCCACGUAGUUGCUGAGUGAUAUUUCAAAUUGACAAUUCUGGUUUUGUGGUCAGAUCUCCAGAAUCCUGACGGUGGAAUUUUUUGUUUGCUUGUUGGUUUUUAUUGGGGUUUAUUUUCCUAACAGCCAACACUAUUCCAAUCUGGGUUUGGCAAGCGUUUCAGAAACAGCUGGUACAUGACCAUAUGCUGUGCUGGCGCUGCUGUGAGCUUAUUUCCCACUUGUCCUCCUGGUCAAUCAGAGCUGCUCCAUGUGCCGAAGGACAGCUGGUCCCUUGGCAUGCAAAGCAGCUAAUGAACUUUUCCUCCAGAAGACCGUAGAGAUAGAGCAUGCUGACUCCAAUCAGCAGCUUCGCCUUUCUGAACUGCUAUCAAAGAUGGAGGCUCUCUAAGGGAACCCUGUUUGUUGCCUCUGUGCGACAACCUACACACAGCGAGAACAACUCAGUGGGUGUGCAUCAGAGGUGACAGCACUUGUUUGGAAAAUCAAGGCAAAAUGAUCUGUGUUGAAAAGAAUGCUAAACCACAUCUGAGUGACUGAUGCACUUGUGCUUUUAGCUGUUCAGCCUCAGCACGUACUGCUGUUUUCCUUUUUCAUUCUGACCCCUGCUGGAAAGGGUCUCCAAUAAAUUUCUAAAAAUGUAUCUAUUUUACCAUAUUUCACUGUGAAGGAGGAGUUGCACAUCAGUUCAGUAUUACAUAGCCACAUCUUGUAAGCAUUUUACCACCAGCCAUCCAUCUUACUUCCUUAAAACUGGUCAUUUUAUAAUAUUCCCUAGAAUUUCCUGCUAGAUGCAAUAAAACCCAGUUUUCCCUGAGCAGGGGUUCUGUAUCAGUUAACUUUGAAAGUCAUGAUAAGCAGUCAUUAGACAGUCCUUUAUUGUUCACACUUCAUAAACUGUUCAUAUGAAAUGCUUCAUGGAAACAAUUUGCCCAUUCAGCGUUUUAGAAAUUGAGAUGGAGCAACAUUCAGGAGGGAAUAAAUGUAAUUUGAGAACAAAAGAGAUCAUCUAAGUGUGCAGGAUCUACAUAAAGAAUAGCAGAAUCAGAAUAGUUUAGCUUGGAAAAUACCUUAAAGACCAUAUAGUUCAAAUAUAUACAGAAAUUCAUAGGUGUUUUUAAAACCCAGAAAAUGAAUGGACCUUACUGUAAGGUGAAAGAAGAAACACACAACAGAUACUUGAUGUGUUUUAUUGGGUAUCUUGAUGGACAGCUUCAGCAGUAUAUAAUUAUCUCUUUGAAACGACUUUGCUUAAUUGCAUGAAAGCUUGCAUAACUUUUUUACUACUUUUCAUGGUCCAUUUCAGGUUUCGAGCAAAGAGUCAUGCAAAACAUUCACACCUCCCAGAAGUAUUAACUGAGUUCAAAUGACACAUUCAAAAGGCAUUCCUCAGCACUGGAUCAGGUUUCAGAUUCCUUUUUACUGAUCCCUCUCUCCUAAUAAUAUCCUGGCAAGUGAAAAAGCAAGCAAUAGAUGCCCACAACAUCAGAGGACCAUUUAAUUGUCAGCAUCGAGGACCUCAUCUACUGCAGUCAAUGGAAAAUAACAUUAAAUUUUAUCAGGAUCUGCAUUAGGCUGUAGUUUCAACCUUUCUCCUGACAGAAUUCUCCCUAACUGGGUACAAUAUCUUUAAUAAGAAUGCGCUAGCAUGCACUAACAAUUGGGAAACCCUAAUAACACCUUUAGAAACCUUUGGGAAGUCCAAAAUAAUAUGUGAACAGGAGUCUGUCCCAACAUGCUGCUGUAUGCAUAAAACAGACCACCUGAAGUCCACCAUAAUACUUGGAGAAGAUGUGAAAGAACCAUCAUCAUUGCCUACACCACUUUGGACAAAGAGCCAACAGUACAACAGAUAAAGAAUUUGAAGGCUUUAUGCUACAUAAUGAAUGUAAAAGUCCAAGUACCUAGAUACAGCAUUUGAAACAGUAAACCAAGGAACAGCUUUCACUAGCGGUGCAAUGAAAAGACUACAGAAAGUACACUGUUACAAAAAUGAAAUAAUGUCCCCAAGUGGUAAAAUACAAAGGAAAUAUUACACGUAAUUGCAUUUUAAGGCCAGUUUAGUCGCCGUAAAAUAUAUCAAUGUCUCAAAAUUUGAUCUUUAUUUGCUGAUGCAUAUGUAGAAGAAUUUGAUGUCAUAAUGAGGUACUAAUUUAAUUGCAUUAUAUUUGUUGCUACAUCAGCUAUUGUCAAGCCAUUAAGUUAAUUACAUGUUAAGUUUUAAACUAGAUGAAACACAUUAUGACAUCUGUUUUUUCCUAUUUACUACAGCAUUCCAGAAUUACCAUGUUGGAAAUGUCUGAGGUUUUGGCAGCUUGCUGUCUUACAAAUAGUUCAUGAAUACAAUUAACCAUCCUUGAGUAGCCUGCAGCAUCAGCAGCCAAUCCUUGCCUUCCUCGUCAGAAAUACAAUUAUUGUUCCACACUAAUUCUAUCAACCAUUUUUGGGUUGGUUUAUUUCAGGCCAUAUUCUCAGUCAGUGAAAAUGCUGAAAACAGAGUUGGUCACAUUAAACUAGCUGGCAGUCUGACCACAGACUGUGGAAUUAAUAUACUAAAAGAUUCAUUCCAUCUUUAUUAAUGAUCUUUGUGAAAGAAAAAAUGAAAGAAACACAUGAAAAUGUAUCACAUUCUUAAAGUACCAAUUGCAUAGAAGGACUUAGGCUUUUCAUCCCAUGCAUCAGCAUUUUCUUAACAUGAUAAUGUGUUGCAGACCCUAGUAAAAGAAAAGAUACUUUGUGUAUUAGUGGCUUAUUGUCCUGGCACUUUGACAUUACAUUUUGACUGAUCAAAAAAGCUUUCUUAUCUGAUCCCAUGGUAAAGAAACUGCAAAGCGAAAAGAGGGCAUGUUUUCAGAUGCUUAAAAAAAUGUUUUGAAAGCUGCGGCAGAUAAGGGAAUCUGGAUUCAUGACUUAUAGGCUGUAACAAACUUAUGUUUGUCCUGGU